UUGUAUGAUGAUUUACUUCAUUUUUUAUCACGACGGUCAACAUAGUUUUACAUUGAUGACCACCGCCUGUGACAGGGCUUUAUCUGAUG
rnacentral:snoRNA from 1 species